AACGAACGCUGGCGGCGUGCCUAACACAUGCAAGUCGAACGGAGAUAAGGGGCUUGCUCCUUAUUUUAGUGGCGCACGGGUGAGUAACGCGUAGAUAAUCUGCCUGAUGAUCUGGGAUAACAGUUCGAAAGGACUGCUAAUACCGGAUAAGCCCACGGGUUCUUUGGAAUCUGCGGGAAAAGGGGGGGACCUUCGGGCCUUCUGUCAUCAGAUGAGUCUGCGUACCAUUAGCUAGUUGGUAAGGUAAUGGCCUACCAAGGCUACGAUGGCUAGCUGGUAUGAGAGGAUGAUCAGCCAAACUGGAACUGAGACACGGUCCAGACUCCUACGGGAGGCAGCAGUGGGGAAUUUUGCGCAAUGGGCGAAAGCCUGACGCAGCAACGCCGCGUGAGUGAUGAAGGCUUUCGGGUCGUAAAGCUCUGUCAGAGGGAAAGAAGUGUAUUGUGGUUAAUACCCGCUUUACUUGACGGUACCCCUGAAGGAAGCACCGGCUAACUCCGUGCCAGCCGCCGCCGUAAAAC
rnacentral:rRNA from 1 species